rnacentral:rRNA from 1 species
AUUGAACGCUGGCGGCAGGCCUAACACAUGCAAGUCGAGCGAGCGGCGGACGGGUGAGUAAUGUAUGGGGAACUGGCCGCUAGAGGGGGAAAACCACUGGAAAAGGGAGGAAAAACCGCAAACCAUCGGAUGUGCCCAGAUGGGAUCAGCUAGUAGGUGGGGUAAAGGCUCACCUAGGCGACGACCCCUAGCUGGUCUGAGGGGAUGACCAGCCACACUGGAACUGAGACACGGUCCAGACUCCUACGGGAGGCAGCGGUGGGGAAUAUUGCACAGUGGGCGCAAGCCUGAUGCAGCCAUGCCGCGUGUAUGAAGAAGGCCCUAGGGUUGUAAAGUACUUUCAGUCGGGGGGCGUUACCGACAGAAGAAGCACCGGCUAACUCCGUGCCAGCAGCCGCGGUAAUUC